CCUCCUCGAUCUGUUGGGGGCAGAUGAAGUGGAUAUGCGGGUCAAUGCCGCCCGCGGUGAGGAUGCGCCCCUCGCCCGCGAUGAUCUCGGUCCCCGGGCCGAUGACGAUGGUGACGCCGGGCUGGGUGUCCGGGUUGCCGGCCUUGCCGAUGGCGGCGAUGCGCCCCUCCUUCAGCCCGACAUCCGCCUUCAGGAUCCCGGUCACGGCAUCGAGGAUCAGCGCGUUGGUGAUCACGGUGUCCAUCGCGCCCGCCGCGCGGCUCACCUGCGAUUGCCCCAUCCCGUCGCGGAUA
rnacentral:sRNA from 1 species